AACGCACAUUGCGCCCCUUGGUAUUCCAUUGGGCAUGCCUGUUCGAGCGUCAUUUAAACCCUCAAGCUCUGCUUGGUGUUGGGCGUUUUGUCUACGGACUCGCCCCAAAUCUAUUGGCAGCAGCCUUACCGGCUUCUUGCGCAGUACAAUGCGCUUAGAGAAGCUUGUGUAGUGGUAUGCAACCCAGUAAGCAAUUCUUUAUUUUGACCUCGAAUCAGGUAGGGAUACCCGCUGAACUUAA
rnacentral:misc_RNA from 1 species